UUUCCGUAGGUGAACCUACGGAAGGAUCAUUCAUAAUAAGUGUUUUAUGGCACUUUUUUAAAUCCAUAUCCACCUUGUGUGCAAUGUCAGGGUUGAUUUUUCUCUCGAGAGGAUCAACCACAAACAUCAACUAUAUCUCAAAUCUUUGUCUGAAAAAUAUUAUGAAUAAAACAAUUCAAAAUACAACUUUCAACAACGGAUCUCUUGGCUCUC
rnacentral:misc_RNA from 1 species